UCGCGGCCUAUCAGCUUGUUGGUGGGGUGAUGGCCUACCAAGGCUUUGACGGGUAACCGGCCUGAGAGGGUGACCGGUCACAUUGGGACUGAGAUACGGCCCAGACUCCUACGGGAGGCAGCAGUGGGGAAUUUUGCACAAUGGGCGAAAGCCUGAUGCAGCGACGCCGCGUGAGGGAUGGAGGCCUUCGGGUUGUGAACCUCUUUCGCUCAUGGUCAAGCCGCGCGUGUGCGUGUGGUGAGGGUAGUGGGUAAAGAAGCGCCGGCUAACUACGUGCCAGCAGCCGCGGUAAUACGUAGGGCGCGAGCGUUGUCCGGAAUUAUUGGGCGUAAAGGGCUUGUAGGCGGUUGGCCGCGUCUGCCGUGAAAUCCUCUGGCUUAACUGGGGGCGUGCGGUGGGUACGGGUUGACUUGAGUGCGGUAGGGGAGACUGGAAUUCCUGGUGUAGCGGUGGAAUGCGCAGAUAUCAGGAGGAACACCGGUGGCGAAGGCGGGUCUCUGGGCCGUUACUGACGCUGAGGAGCGAAAGCGUGGGGAGCGAACAGGAUUAGAUACCCUGGUAGUCCACGCCGUAAACGGUGGGUACUAGAUGUGGGAUUCCUUCCUUGGGUUCCGUGUCGUAGCUAACGCAUUAAGUACCCCGCCUGGGGAGUACGG
rnacentral:rRNA from 1 species